CGACGGCGGGCUGUGUUGCAUCUUUCUUAGUUGUCUAGUUCAAGACGCAAGCUUCAUCUUCAUCUAUGAUGUACAUGGUCCACCCUCAUUCAUUCUCUCUCACUCUCUAAAAAGUGCACUCGUCCAGUCUUCCUCCACCAGUUGCAGUUGCUGUUCACAAUGAAGCGAGUUUCCCUUUCAAUCCUCUUUCUCGCCCUUCUCUUGCUAUCCUCUGUGGCUGUUGGGCGUCAAUUGGUUGAAGAUUCCCAUGCAGAUAAGUACAAAGGCUUUUGCAGUCUCUGCAUUCGUCAUGGCGUGUGCUGCGCAGACUAUUGCUGCCCCACUAAAUGCUGCUCGAAGGAGGAGUACGAUGAGUUCCUGAAAGGGACGAGUGUCCCUCAGAACUGAGGAGGCUUCCUGGUUCGCCGGUGUUGACGCAUGUUGAUGAUAAUGGUAGCAGCGAAGGUGCUUGUCAAUAAUAAAGUAAGCGUGCAAGCUUAUUGUCCGCUAGCAAUCGAGCAUGCAUGCAGGGUAUGUGUGUCCUGGUUCUUGUUGAUUUUACAAGAACCUUAUGUGUACGCUUUAUGUCGCGUGGAAUGAAAUAAAUUAGUUAA